rnacentral:rRNA from 1 species
GAUGAACGCUGGCGGCGUGCCUAAUACAUGCAAGUCGAGCGAACGGACGAGAAUCUUGCUUCUCUGAUGUUAGCGGCGGACGGGUGAGUAACACGUGGAUAACCUACCUAUAAGACUGGGAUAACUUCGGGAAACCGGAGCUCAUACCGGAUAAUAUUUUGAACCGCAUGGUUCAAAAGUGAAAGACGGUCUUGCUGUCACUUAUAGAUGGAUCCGCGCUGCAUUAGCUAGUUGGUAAGGUAACGGCUUACCAAGGCAACGAUGCAUAGCCGACCUGAGAGGGUGAUCGGCCACACUGGAACUGAGACACGGUCCAGACUCCUACGGGAGGCAGCAGUAGGGAAUCUUCCGCAAUGGGCGAAAGCCUGACGGAGCAACGCCGCGUGAGUGAUGAAGGUCUUCGGAUCGUAAAACUCUGUUAUUAGGGAAGAACAUAUGUGUAAGUAACUGUGCACAUCUUGACGGUACCUAAUCAGAAAGCCACGGCUAACUACGUG